AACGAACGCUGGCGGCAUGCCUAACACAUGCAAGUCGAACGAGACCUUCGGGUCUAGUGGCGCACGGGUGCGUAACGCGUGGGAACCUGCCCUUAGGUUCGGAAUAACUCCCCGAAAGGGGUGCUAAUACCGGAUAAUGUCUUCGGACCAAAGAUUUAUCGCCUUUGGAUGGGCCCGCGUUGGAUUAGCUUGUUGGUAGGGUAAAAGCCUACCAAGGCGACGAUCCAUAGCUGGUCUGAGAGGAUGAUCAGCCACACUGGGACUGAGACACGGCCCAGACUGCUACGGGAGGCAGCAGUGGGGAAUAUUGGACGAUGGGCGAAAGCCUGAACCAGCAAUGCCGCGUGAGUGAUGAAGGCCUGAGGGUUGUAAAGCUCUUUUACCCGGGAUGAUAAUGACAGUACCGGGAGAAUAAGCUCCGGCUAACUCCGUG
rnacentral:rRNA from 1 species